GGCAGAUACAGCUUAAAGUCUUGCAGAAAUUUUACAUGCAAUCAAAUAAAGAAAUUGAUAAUCAAGUGAUUUUAUGAUAAAUACAACUAAAUGUUAGAUAUUACAAUAAUAUCAACCACGUAAUAGACCAAUAUGAAAACAGGGCCAGAAUUUGGUUAAUUUGGAUCUACUUUAUCUCAGUAAAUUGCAAUUUUUAUAAUAUAUAAAUUUGUCUUUUCCUACAACAUUAUUUUGAGAGGCCAUAAUUUGCAAAACUUUAGAAUAUGGAGUUUCAAGAAGCUACUAGAGAGAGUUGAUCUCACUCCAAAAGAUUGCUUUAGUAUUAUCAACAUCCAAACGUGCCCAUUGGUCCUGAAGAUUGCUACCAAGGUAAAUUGCAUAACCACCCCAAGCCCAGCUAACUUUUCA
rnacentral:lncRNA from 1 species